GGAACCUUGAAAGGUGUUCUAGUCUUUGGAUUAAGCAAAAUCAAAGACCAUGGUGGGAUGAGUGCAUUACAUCAUGUAUGUUGGUGAAGGGAAAGAGCAGUACUUUGGUGCAUCUGUGAUUAUAAUACUUCAAAGUGUCCAAUUCCUAGUCUGUUUUCAAACUUAAUUUGAUAAGGAGCUCCUUCCAUUUCCUGUGUCCAUGAUGAGAGAACCAAAGCUCAGUCAAUGGGCCCCUGUAGCCACUCUGUUUUUCUCUAAUCAUGGUGCAUCUACAUUUCCUCGGGCACUCAAACUGAGCAUGUGUUUUUGGUCUGGGCUGCAUCAUCCUCCCACCCUGCCGCCUCUCCCAAUAAGCAUCCUGUUUCAUCCUUGGCUCUGCUGCUGCUCCAGCCUGAGAAGCUCCCGGCAGGCAUUGGGCCAGUCUCCGGACUGGUGACAGGGUUAACUUCAAAAGAAUACAAAGAAUGAAAUGCCAGGAAUGAAUUCUCCAGCCCAAGACACAUCC
rnacentral:lncRNA from 1 species